UCAAGCCAAUCGUCGACUUCGUCAAGAUCUAAAGUUCCUUCAGAAACUAUACUGACACUGGUAACAGCAGAAUCAUGAACAUGAUCAUGAAGAUGUCCCUCGUGGUGGUCAUGCCCAUGUCCACUGUGAUGGGUUGUAUCAUCAUCUACAUCUACUUCGGACUCGAUUCUGUCCAUGUCAUAUCCACCUAUUCCCAAAACAAAAUCCAUAUCAACAUCUCCAAAUUCGGCUUGCUUAAUUUGAGCCAUCCCAUUUAUAUGCUUAAUUCUCCGAG
rnacentral:misc_RNA from 1 species